AGCUCAGUGGUUAAGAGCACUGGCUGCCCUUCCAGAGGACCUGGGUUCAAUUCCCAG
rnacentral:tRNA from 1 species